AUUGAACGCUGGCGGCAGGCUUAACACAUGCAAGUCGAGCGGGGAAGGGUAGCUUGCUACCUAACCUAGCGGCGGACGGGUGAGUAAUGCUUAGGAAUCUGCCAUUUAGUGGGGGACAACAUUCCGAAAGGAAUGCUAAUACCGCAUACGUCCUACGGGAGAAAGCAGGGGAUCUUCGGACCUUGCGCUAAAUGAUGAGCCUAAGUCGGAUUAGCUAGUUGGUGGGGUAAAGGCCUACCAAGGCGACGAUCUGUAGCGGGUCUGAGAGGAUGAUCCGCCACACUGGGACUGAGACACAGCCCAGACUCCUACGGGAGGCAGCAGUGGGGAAUAUUGGACAAUGGGCGGAAGCCUGAUCCAGCCAUGCCGCGUGUGUGAAGAAGGCCUUAUGGUUGUAAAGCACUUUAAGCGAGGAGGAGGCUACUUAGAUUAAUACUCUAGGAUAGUGGACGUUACUCGCAGAAUAAGCACCGGCUAACUCUGUGCCAGCAGCCGCAGUAA
rnacentral:rRNA from 1 species